rnacentral:rRNA from 1 species
UACGGAGGGUGCAAGCGUUAUCCGGAUUUACUGGGUUUAAAGGGUGCGUAGGCGGGCCUGUAAGUCAGUGGUGAAAUCUUCCCGCUUAACGGGAAAACUGCCAUUGAUACUAUAGGUCUUGAAUUCAGUUGAGGUGGGCGGAAUGUGUCGUGUAGCGGUGAAAUGCUUAGAUAUGACACAGAACACCGAUUGCGAAGGCAGCUCGCUAAACUGACACUGACGCUCAUGCACGAAAGCGUGGGGAGCAAACAGG